GGGUCGUCCCACUAUGACUGGGAAGUCCCAUGGGAUGCCUCAAUUGGCCAGUCUGAAAAUCAAACUUUCUAUUUUGAUCUCAGGGAUCGUCCAAAGUAGGUCAUCCCACUGUGCCAUAAGCCAAAACAGUGCAUGCCGGCUACUUAAUGAAAGGGGAUAACCCAAAUGGGUCACUCCAUUUUGUGCCAACCUAAUUUUUCAUACAUUA
rnacentral:lncRNA from 1 species